GCGAGUAUGGCCCUCACGGGUCUAAUCCACCAUAAACACCUUUGUGAACCAGUCGGGGGGACUCGGCCGUGAAAGCCCAGGCGAUUAGCGGAAGGGCCCUCCUUUGCAAACCCGUUUAGAAGUCUUGAAAGUACUUUUGUAUAAUCUAGUA
rnacentral:misc_RNA from 1 species